CCAUUUGUUAGAUAUAUGGACUUUGAUCAACUACAACUAUUGAAGUGAUCUAUAGAAAUGACCUAAUCCUAAUUAAUUUUUAAUUAGGUUUGAUCAAUUUCUUAACUUAGCCCAUAUUUAAUCUAACCCUAGGUCUAACCCAGUUAAUGACCUGAUCAAAGCUAACCCAUUACCCUUUAACCCAUGUUUUAUGAAAUUAUCUUAGGAUCUUUAAAUCACAAACCUAGAUCCUAAACAAUCACUUAAUUCUUUUAAUUAAGUUCAUGGCUAAGGGUUGGGGUUCGGCAUUUCGAAAUAUAUUUUCAACUUUUGAAAAAUUUAAUACAAUCUAGUGUUGUUUCACUAAAUAGGUCAACUCAUUUCAAAAAUAGAUCGAUUUAUUUUACUAAUAAACACUAAUUGUAGGUUAAAAUAAUUAAAUUCAGCCAACUUUUCAGUCGAGCUGGCAUGCUGGUCGAGCCGGCCCAAUCAAUAAACAGAACCUUCGCA
rnacentral:lncRNA from 1 species